rnacentral:rRNA from 1 species
AUUGAACGCUGGCGGCAGGCCUAACACAUGCAAGUCGAACGAGUGGAGGACGGGUGCGUAAUGUCUGGGAAACUGCCUGAAGGAGGGGGAUAACUACUGGAAACGGUAGCUAAAACCGCAUACCAUCGGAUGUGCCCAGAUGGGCUUAGCUAGUAGGUGGGGUAAAGGGUCACAUGGGCGACGAUUCCUACCUGUGCUGAGAGGGGUACCAGCCACACUGUGACUGAGACACGGUCCAGACUCCUACGGUAGGAAGCAGUGGGGAAUCUUGCACAAUGGGCGCAAGCCUGAUGCCGCCAUGCCGCGUGUAUGAAGAAGGCUUUCGGGUUGUAAAGUACUUUCGGCGGGGAGGCGUUACCCACAGAAGAAGCACCGGCUAACUCCGUGCCAGCAGCCGCGGUAAUUC